AGAGGAAUAUAAAACACUCUGGUUAGAUGACAUUUACUCAAUACAUUGCCUUUCUGUAUUCUGCUAUUGAAGUUGAGACACCAGCUUUGUUUCCAGAUUCUGUAACUCCUAGAUCAAGUUCGAGAUUUUAUGGUUAGAUUUCUCUUAAAAAAGACUGUCAUACGCCACUUCUGUCCCUAUCCACAAAAGCAGGUGUACAUCAGUCUAAGAGCCACUCAUGCAGGAAUUUGCAUUAGAGCAUAUAUUUGAAAGCUAAUUUUUCAUUGUUCUCUCUGGUUGCUCAAAUAGAAACCUCUUACUGCAAGAACCAAUGUCCUUACCCCAUCAUCUCAUUCACUACCUCGGGGGAAGCUUUAUACAAGGCAAAAUGCUAUCUAAUUUCAUCAUUUACUUCUCUCUUCCCUGUCUGAUCAUAGCAGACAUCGUAACCCCUCCACAUAAACAUCAUCAUCAUCAUCAUCAGAUGCAACAAACAAAGCCCUGACUGUAAACUCCAAAACUAGGCUCAAACUCUGAAGUCAGCUCUAACUGACCAAAAACCUUUAACCAUCGUAUUUCAGGGUCUUGGCAACCCACAACCAUCUUUACUAAUGUCUACCUCAGUAGUCUAUUCUUGAAUGUUCUAAAAUUACCAUCUCCCUUGUCUCAGUAUUUUUACAAGUUGGCAUUUUCUUUGUGAUUACAUGAACAGACAUUCAUAUUUUCCCCCUCCUGAGCCAGGAUGUUAGAGACAAGCCUGGCUCAAACACCUCAGGAUGGCUAAAAGCAGUUUGAAAAUAUGAUGGGGUAUCUCUAUGGAAGUUAAAAUCCUGUCAAUGACAGAGCUGCACUUUGCUGUUAGUCAGAUACUUGAUUGCCAGAAAUUUUAGGUUAGCUUCUGGCUGCUCCAUUAAGCAAAUGAGCUUAGACAAGGGUUUUCAUUCUGUGUGCCUCUUUUUUUUUUUCUUUUUUCCUUUUUCUGCCAAUUGUGUAUAAUACCACCUUGCUAGUAAGAUCAUUGGUUGUGUAUUGAUAUGUAGCACACUUCUAAGAUUCUCAUCCUUCAGAAACCUUAAAACUCCUGAGCAAUGGCUUCUGCUUAGCUUGAUUAGAGUAGAUGGGAAUAAUAGGUUAAUGGAGUUAGACGUUCUGGUGCUUUCAUGGUGCUAUAGUUUGUGUAGAAAACAUAAACCCUUAUGAAGUAAGUGGCAAAGAAUGAACACUAUUAU